AAGAGGAGAACAUAUAAGACACUGUCUCACUGUUACCUUGGUCUCGGGAUCCUUUCAAUGCUGUUGAAUUGGAGGUCCUGAUCUUCUCUUACUCCUUAAUACUGAGAUUUUGUAGCUCAUUGUUCCUGGACUUCUUCAACCUCUCAAGUGGAAUUUAUUCCCUGAUCAAGCCCAAGAAGGAAAUGCUCCAGGAAUAUGUGAAGAAAAAUCAGGCCAAACGGCCUUGUCUGAUGAUCAUCUGUACCUUUACUGAUCUUCGAUUUUUCUCAAGAAAAAAGAAGGGGGACCUAAGUCCUGGAUAUGACUAUUGGGUCCUGAACGCCAUUAAGAAGGGCUGACAGAUUUCUCACUGGGGGUACAAUAUUAUUAUACCAAAGGACAAUUUUGAGGUGAAGGAAGGAAACAAGCAUUUAUUAAGUGUCUACUAUGUGCCAGAAGCACUUUACAAAUAUUAUUUCACUGGAUUCUCACAACAUCCCUGGAUGGUGGAAGCGAUCUCAUCGCAAGAACUCCAGGCACUGUCAGCAUCCAUAAUGGAAGAACUAGUGAGCCUGAGAAUCCUAAUCUCAGUUUUCCUGGACCGAACAUUGAGAUUUCAUGUUUCCUUUCCCAUGAGUCCUCGGCAGCAUUGGACUUUCCAUUUGAAAGAGCACAGUGUUAGGAUUAGCGAGACUGGCCUGUGUGUCUGCUGAGCCAAGGGCAAUUGAAGCUCUGUCUGCCCAGGGGAAGACAGAAUCUAGGAAGUGAAAUUAUAAUGACUUACAUAGAAAUAAAAGCUGUUCCAUCUACUGGGAGCCCACAGGAAGAACAGGCCGAACUCUUGCUUAUUUCUGUUGUGGAACUGAUUGAUUUAAUCAAAAGAAGCCAUUUCAUCUUUGGACUGGCUCCCCCCAUUUUUGGAGGAACACGUGUGAUUUGGAGGCUAUGAUGAGAUUUUCCCCAAGCUGUCUGUGUAAAUGACCGACAGUCAAGUGGAGGAGGUGUUGGGCAGGGGUGGGUCUUUUGGGUCUCACAUUCUCCAAAUGCUUACAGAAGGGGAAUGGAAUCACACAGUCAUUGAUUUAGAGCUAAAAGGGACCUUAGGCAUAAUUGAAGCUAAUCCACUCAUAAGUGAGCAAAUAAAGAUGUGUGGGAAAGCAAUUUGUCCAGUCACAGUGGCUAAUUAGCAUGGAAGAAGGAAAUACAUAGGUACACACAUAAAAUUUAUAUAUAAACACACGUAUACCACACAUAUGUAUGUAUACAUGUAGCUAUGUAUACAUACAGACAUGCAUAUAUAUAUAUAUAUAUAUAUAUACUUGUAUGUAUCAUAUAUUUUAAGCUGGACAUUAUGCAAAGCAUAAUUUUUUCUUUUAAUUUUUCUUUCUCUUCCUUUCC